GCCUCUGUACUUCAGUGGCACAGCACUGGUCGUGUAAUACGGGGUCGUAAGUUCAAUCCUCACCGAAGGCA